UAGAAGUAAUUAAGUAUAGAUACUACUGGUUUGUUUCUUCCAGUAGCUGAUAAUACUAAUACCAAUAAUAAUAAUAAUAAGAGUAAAGUAAUACUACUUAAACUGUCUUUAUUUAUCCAUUGAACUGGCCAUUUCAAAUCUAAACUUCUAAACACAAAUCAAACCAUCAUCCUUGUAGAAUCUUUAAUAGGAGUGGGCUAAAGAUCCUGGUUUUGUUGACAGGAUUUAUUGGUUCAUGAAGAGCAAGAGGUAAGUACAAGCCUAACUACCCUCUAGCUCACAGACCUGCCCAGUGAAUAGAGCUUUGUUUUUUUGAUGGGCUUGUGAUGACUUUGAGAUCAAUUGCUCAUUCAUUACAGUAAAAAAAAAAAUUGUUUUGAACAUGACAGCAAAAAUAACUUUAAGCACAACUUAAUAAUAAUAGAUCACCAAUUUUAGUUAAUAAUUUUAUGCUAUACUCUUGGGUGAGGGAAGACUCGGACACUCAAUAUGAGAUCAGCAAGCUAUGUUUAUUGCAGAGAGUAUCAGACACUUAUAUAGCACAUAAUAAGCUUAUGAAUGUUCUGUAAGCCAAGCGAUCUAUUGGUUAAACUAUACCAUCAACUCUUCCUCAUUCCUUUGGGCCUACAUUCCCUAUUUCCCACGUCUCUCUGUCUACUUGUUAUCCUACCCAGCUAGGCCCAGGCACACGCUAUCUUGCAGGUGCAAAACUCAAAAAUACCUGUGUUCGGUACUUUCCCAGCUCCUGGUCGGCUAACGAGCGAAUGUCUGCGUGACCUCUGUCAUGGAGCCAUUUCUCCACACUAUACUAUCAAAGUUUAAAGGGAUCAGUGAAUUUUAACUCUGGAGUCCUCUAUGCUAAGGAUGCUCAGCUUACAGAUGAUGAAAUGUUCAGUAAUGGUGAGUUUUUCACCUUCUCCUUCAUUGUUUUGCUCAUCUGAAUAAAAAAAAAAAAAAAGGCAAGAUUAAAGAAAAA